rnacentral:snoRNA from 1 species
AACCAAGGUGAUUCCCUCUCCAAGGGGCCUGCUAAGUGCCCCUCUCCGGAAAGUAGCAGCUUGGAAUAAAAUCUGGCAGGCCUGAGGCUUCUGAGGAGAGGGGCUGCUGACGUCCUUAGCCUUCCUUGGGCCGCCUACAAAA